AUUGAACGCUGGCGGCAUGCCUUACACAUGCAAGUCGAACGGUAACGGGCCUUCGGGUGCCGACGAGUGGCGUACGGGUGAGUAAUACAUCGGAACGUGCCCGAUCGUGGGGGAUAACGAGGCGAAAGCUUUGCUAAUACCGCAUACGAUCUACGGAUGAAAACAGGGGACCGCAAGGCCUUGCGCGGACGGAGCGGCCGGUGGCAGAUUAGGUAGUUGGUGGGGUAAAAGCUUACCAAGCCGACGAUCUGUAGCUGGUCUGAGAGGAUGAUCAGCCACACUGGGACUGAGACACGGCCCAGACUCCUACGGGAGGCAGCAGUGGGGAAUGUUGGACAAUGGGCGCAAGCCUGAUCCAGCCAUGCCGCGUGCAGGAUGAAGGCCUUCGGGUUGUAAACUGCUUUUGUACGGAACGAAAAGCCUUCUUUUAAUACAGGAGGGUCAUGACGGUACCGGAAGAAUAAGCACCGGCUAACUACGUG
rnacentral:rRNA from 1 species